UACAGAGGUGGCGAGCGUUGUUCGGAUUUAUUGGGCGUAAAGGGUCCGUAGGCGGUCCGGAAAGUCGGAUGUGAAAGCCUGCAGCUUAACUGCAGAACUGCAUUCGAAACUCCCGGACUCGAGUUUGAGAGGGGUAAAGGGAAUUCCCGGUGUAAGGGUGAAAUCUGCAGAUAUCGGGAAGAACAUCAGUCGCGAAGACGCUUUACUGGCUCACAACUGACGCUGAGGGACGAAAGCUAGGGGAGCAAACGGG
rnacentral:rRNA from 1 species